rnacentral:rRNA from 1 species
CCUACGGGGAGCAGCAGUGAGGAAUAUUGGUCAAUGGGCGAGAGCCUGAACCAGCCAAGUCGCGUGAAGGAUGACGGCCCUACGGGUUGUAAACUUCUUUUGUCAGGGAGCAAUUGAGUCCACGUGUGGUCUUAGCGAGAGUACCUGACGAAAAAGCAUCGGCUAACUCCGUGCCAGCCGCCGCGGUAUUACGGGGGAUGCGAGCGUUAUCCGGAUUUAUUGGGUUUAAAGGGUGCGUAGGCGGAAUAUCAAGUCAGCGGUAAAAAUUCGGGGCUCAACCCCGUCGUGCCGUUGAAACUGAUGUUCUGGAGUGGGCGAGAAGUAUGCGGAAUGCGUGGUGUAGCGGUGAAAUGCAUAGAUAUCACGAAGAACUCCGAUGGCGAAGGCAGCAUACCGGCGCCCAACUGACGCUGAAGAACGAAAGCGUGGGUAGCGAACAGGAUUAGAUACCCUAGUAGUC